CAAUAGCGUAUAUUAAAGUUGUUGCGGUUAAAAAGCUCGUAGUUGGAUUUCUGCCGAGGACGACCGGUCCGCCCUCUGGGUGAGUAUCUGGCUCGGCCUGGGCAUCUUCUUGGAGAACGUAGCUGCACUUGACUGUGUGGUGCGGUAUCCAGGACUUUUACUUUGAGGAAAUUAGAGUGUUUCAAGCAGGCUUACGCCUUGAAUACAUUAGCAUGGAAUAAUAAGAUAGGACCUCGGUUCUAUUUUGUUGGUUUCUAGAGCUGAGGUAAUGAUUAAUAGGGAUAGUUGGGGGCAUUCGUAUUUAACUGUCAGAGGUGAAAUUCUUGGAUUUGUUAAAGACGGACUACUGCGGAAGCAUUUGCCAAGGAUGUUUUCAUUGA
rnacentral:rRNA from 1 species